UCUCCGUUGGUGAACCAGCGGAGGGAUCAUUACAGGACUCGUAAGACUCCUACAACCCUGUGAACUUAACUAUAAGCACGUUGCUUCGGCGGGUGUCUCGGAGGGGGUUCUCCCUCCCCGAGACGCUAAACCCGCCGGCAGCCUACUAUACUCUGUCUCUUUGCGUUGGCAUCUCGAGUACAAUCAAACAAGUUAAAACUUUCAACAACGGAUCUCUUGGUUCUG
rnacentral:misc_RNA from 1 species